CUCUCUCCUGACAGACGGGUUAUUACUCUUAUUCAUCUCGGCCCGUUCUCUCUAUCCUCCACGGGAGCCAGAGAGCGAGCCACAAGAAACGAGGUUGUCGGUCUCGACAGGGAGCAGCGAGAGGGUCCUCAGGUCACGGCAGAAACAAGAAAAAGAUGAAUUAGACGAACGGACUGAUUCCUCUGGAACGUCUGCACAGGAUGUGCAAACGGGACGCCGGGCGCUUCUCCGUGGGCGCGUCCGUGCCGAUAGAGGAGUCAAACCCGGGCCGGCCGCCGCCACCUGCGCCCGUGAGUCAGAGCCGGAGAGAUGGGCUGUGGCAGAUACGACGGAGGCAGUGAGCGUCUGGUGACUGGAUCCGUGGGCCUCCGAGCCGCCGUUUACAGUUUGGGAGCCUUGAAGUUGACAACGCGGCUGGAAAGAUGUACAGCCUGUCAGGAGCCAUCACGUGCGGCGCGUCCGGCGCUGCUGAGCGCUGGUUCUGUAAGUCAGAUGCUGCUGAGCGCUGGUUCUGUAAGUCAGAUGCUGCUGAGCGCUGGUUCUGUGUGUCAGACGCAGCCUCGCUAAUUCUGGGAGCGCGUGUGUGCGCGCCCGCCAGCAUUAUUUAGGGCAGUGAUUGUUUUCUGAGCUCUAUUAAAUGAAAGCUAAUGUUA